GAUGAACGCUGGCGGCGUGCCUAAUACAUGCAAGUCGAACGGAAGGGCGCGGAGCUUGCUUCUCUGAUGUUGGGGACGGACGAGUGAGUAACGCGUGAUUUGCCUACCUCUACGAGUGGGGUCACUGCGGGUAACCGUAGCUACUACCGGGUCAUAUUUUGAACCGGAUGGUUCAAAAGUGUAAGCCGGUCUUGUUGUCACUGAUCGCUGAGUUCGCGGUGUAUCAGCUAGUUCGUAGGGAAAUGGCUUACCAAGGCGGCGAUGGGUAGCCGAACUGAGAGGGUGGACGGCCGCAUUGGGACUGAGGUACGGCCCAGACUCCUACGGGAGGCAGCAGUGGGGAAUAUUGCACAAUGGGCGCAAGCCUGAUGCAGCGACGCCGCGUGGGGGAUGACGGCCUUCGGGUUGUAAACUCCUUUCGCUAGGGACGAAGCUUUUUGUGACGGUACCUAGAUAAGAAGCACCGGCUAACUACGUG
rnacentral:rRNA from 1 species